rnacentral:rRNA from 1 species
UACAGAGGUCUCAAGCGUUGUUCGGAUUCAUUGGGCGUAAAGGGCGCGUAGGCGGCUUUGCGUGUCUUUCGUGAAAUCCCUCGGCUCAACUGAGGACGUGCGGAAGAAACUGCAGGGCUGGAGUCCGGGAGAGGAGGGUGGAAUUCCCGGUGUAGCGGUGAAAUGCGUAGAUAUCGGGAGGAACAUCAGUGGCGAAGGCGGCCUUCUGGUCCAGUACUGACACUCAAGUGCGAAAGCGUGGGGAGCAAACAGG